rnacentral:rRNA from 1 species
GAUGAACGCUGGCGGCGUGCCUAAUACAUGCAAGUAGAACGCUGAAGGAAGGAGCUUGCUCUUUCCGGAUGAGUUGCGAACGGGUGAGUAACGCGUAGGUAACCUGCCUGGUAGCGGGGGAUAACUAUUGGAAACGAUAGCUAAUACCGCAUAACAGUAGAUGUUGCAUGACAUCUGCUUGAAAGGGGCAAUUGCUCCACUACCAGAUGGACCUGCGUUGUAUUAGCUAGUUGGUGAGGUAACGGCUCACCAAGGCGACGAUACAUAGCCGACCUGAGAGGAUGAUCGGCCACACUGGGACUGAGACACGGCCCAGACUCCUACGGGAGGCAGCAGUAGGGAAUCUUCGGCAAUGGACGGAAGUCUGACCGAGCAAC